AUUGAACGCUGGCGGCAGGCCUAACACAUGCAAGUCGAGCGGAUGAAGGGAGCUUGCUCCUGGCUUCAGCGGCGGACGGGUGAGUAAUGCCUAGGAAUCUGCCUGGUAGUGGGGGAUAACGUCCGGAAACGGGCGCUAAUACCGCAUACGUCCUGAGGGAGAAAGUGGGGGAUCUUCGGACCUCACGCUAUCAGAUGAUCCUAGGUCGGAUUAGCUAGUUGGUGGGGUAAAGGCCUACCAAGGCGACGAUCCGUAACUGGUCUGAGAGGAUGAUCAGUCACACUGGAACUGAGACACGGUCCAGACUCCUACGGGAGGCAGCAGUGGGGAAUAUUGGACAAUGGGCGAAAGCCUGAUCCAGCCAUGCCGCGUGUGUGAAGAAGGUCUUCGGAUUGUAAAGCACUUUAAGUUGGGAGGAAGGGCAGUAAGUUAAUACCUUGCUGUUUUGACGUUACCAACAGAAUAAGCACCGGCUAACUUCGUG
rnacentral:rRNA from 1 species